rnacentral:lncRNA from 7 species
AAUCGCGCGCCGUUUCUGGCGAAAUCGGCGCAAAAUCCACGGAUGUCAUGGAUCUAGUCACAGACUCGCCCUAUAUAAGUCCCCGGCCAGCGCCCAUGGCUUCGUCAACCCAUAGGCCAGCAAACCUUGGAUUCUACCGUUGUGACACCACCGCAAGGGAGGGAUCACGGAGCUGGACGUCAACAUCGCGGUGGACUAUUGGCUUCCCUCAGCGUUGGUCGGGGAGGCUCAUCGGGGUUACCCGCGUGUGGCUCAAGUCGUUCCGGGCAUAAUGGGUCACUAUGAGCACGCCAAUUUCUCGCUGGAGAUCAGGGGCCUUGGUCAAUCCACGCUUCGCCUUUGGUAGGGCUUACCGUCACGAGAUUCACGGUGAGAUUGCUUCUCCUAGAAUUAUAUUUUUCCUGUACUUCGUGUAGCAUCGUUCGAAGUGGGAAAACUGAUCUAUGGAGCUCGUUUGGGCGCUGCGACGAUGAAAUCCUCGCCAUGGGCGGGCGCCGCCACCGUCCCUGGCUAGAGGUGGGAGGAGGCACGACAACUGCUGGUCUUAAAACGGGUGGAUAGGAUUAGGUGGCUUCGGGUAAUUAAAUCGUGUGCGC